rnacentral:rRNA from 1 species
GAUGAACGCUGGCGGCGUGCCUAAUACAUGCAAGUCGAGCGAACAGAUGAGGAGCUUGCUCCUCUGACGUUAGCGGCGGACGGGUGAGUAACACGUGGAUAACCUACCUAUAAGACUGGGAUAACUUCGGGAAACCGGAGCUAAUACCGGAUAAUAUAUUGAACCGCAUGGUUCAAUAGUGAAAGACGGUUUUGCUGUCACUUAUAGAUGGAUCCGCGCCGCAUUAGCUAGUUGGUAAGGUAACGGCUUACCAAGGCAACGAUGCGUAGCCGACCUGAGAGGGUGAUCGGCCACACUGGAACUGAGAACCGGUCCAGACUCCUACGGGAGGCAGCAGUAGGGAAUCUUCCGCAAUGGGCGAAAGCCUGACGGAGCAACGCCGCGUGAGUGAUGAAGGUCUUCGGAUCGUAAAACUCUGUUAUUAGGGAAGAACAAAUGUGUAAGUAACUAUGCGCGUCUUGACGGUACCUAAUCAGAAAGCCACGGCUAACUACGU